UGGGGAGUGGUGUAAUUGGCGAGCACGGGGGCCUUUGAAGCCCUAGGAUCCGGUUCAAGUCCGGGCUCCCCAA
rnacentral:tRNA from 1 species